CGGAAGGAUCAUUAUUGAGCUUAUCCAUUUACUUGGAUUCAAAUGAAUCGAGCUGAAUCUUUGCUGUUUGUUUCGAAGCGAUGUAUUCUCUCAACUAACGGCUAUGAAGGGUUUCUGUAGGUGUCUGGAGCAGUUGUAUGUGCGUGACUGUGGUGAUGGACAUUUGAGUUCUUCUGGAACUAGAAUUAAAGAAGUCUGUUACGACUCGCCGUUCUUAAAAAACUUCAAUUAACGUUUGAACAAUUUGACUGCACCAGCCGUAGGUGUAAUUAAAGAUUUAUCAAGUCUUGUCGGUGGAUCCCCUCGGUUCGUAGUUCGAUGAAAAACGGGGCAAAAACCGUUAUUUGGCGUGAAUUGCAGACAUAUUGAACGCUAAAAUUUUGAACGCAAAUGGCACUAUCAGGUUUAUAUCUGUUAGUAUGUUUGGUUGAGGGUCGAUUAAUUCGUAACUUGCAGUCCGCCGUGACUGUUCUUUCGAUCAGCUACUUGAUUUGCAUUGCUGAUCGAGUACCUGUUUGGUAUGUAAACUUUUGAUAGUUUAAUUCGUUCCUUACUGAAACGAGCUAUCUUUGAAUUCUGUGCGUUGUAUCUUUGGUGUUUUUUUUUCGGCGCGUUUCUUGCCGACUGAAUUGUACGGACGUAACAGUACGUAUAUGCUUCAAUUUAUUCAGAUGCCCUAAGGUUACAUCACUCGACACAACACGUUUCGUUUGUUGAAUAAUCGCGCAAGAAAGAAACUUUC
rnacentral:rRNA from 1 species